rnacentral:lncRNA from 1 species
CACAAAGAAGGCGGAGAAUGAAAAGAAAUUGUAUUGAAAAUAUAAAGUGAACAGGUCAAUAUCAAUGUGCAAGUUCAUUUUAAUUAUAUGUUAUGUAUUCGAACAGGGAUGGGGUAAAAAAGGGAGAGUAAAAAGAUGCAAGGGUAAGUCAAAAUGAGUUAGGAAAAAACCGAACGGAGGCAGGUGAAGGAAAAACACACAAUCAUCAAAGAGGACGUUAUACAUAAUAUAUAAAAAGAAACGGACAAAACGGAAGUUGAAAAUAGGGGCGACCAGUCACCAACAUAAAAACUGGAGGUUUUAUGGUCAUUUGGGAUCAUGGAGUCCAUUCACACGGGUUUGAAAAGUUGCCUGCGGCACAAAUUGUGCCCCGCUGAAAUGAAGGCAUCGCGCUUCCUAGGGCGCAGGCAUUGUGCAGGAUGGUGACAGAAAUAACGGGCUCGAUGGAUGUACAUGAAUUGAAAGGCAAACAUCGGGAGGAAUGAAGUCAGAAAAAUUCAAGCGUCGUUAUAACUUUUGUUGAUACGGAGACGUAAACAUGACAGUCACUGCAUCGGAAUGUGAAACACCGACAAGCACACAGACCUAAAUAAAAUUUAAACGGCAAAGAGGCUACAGUUCUGGAUGGAAAGAUGAAAAAAGGACUCCAGACCAGUCAGCCAUGACCGAUGUGUAUAAAAAAGAUCGGACGUAUUGCAAACAUUGAUGUUCAUCGUUCUUGACAGUUGUGUUCUAAUCUUCGUUAUUAAAGUUUAGAAAUGCAGAGUCCGUAUUUUUGUUGUAAAUUUCACAACGAUGUGGGGAUAAAAUGAAAAAAUAAAAUUGAAAAUAAUAAAAUUAUAUUUCAAUUUCUUUUUCAUGUGAUUUUUCAUGGUCACGUGGUAAUUGUGACGGCAGUGAUGUUAAUUUGAGCCACGCCAUGAGAAAACCAACAUAGUGGCUUUGCGCAGU